rnacentral:rRNA from 1 species
UACGGAGGGUGCUAGCGUUGUUCGGAAUUACUGGGCGUAAAGGGCGCGUAGGCGGCCGUUUGCGUCGGAUGUGAAAGCCCCGGGCUCAACCUGGGAACUGCAUUGGAAACUAACGGGCUCGAGUGUGGCAGAGGGGGGUGGAAUUCCACGUGUAGCAGUGAAAUGCGUAGAGAUGUGGAGGAACACCGAUGGCGAAGGCAGCCCCCUGGGCUAACACUGACGCUCAGGCACGAAAGCGUGGGGAGCAAACAGG